rnacentral:rRNA from 1 species
AUACGGAGGGUGCGAGCGUUGUUCGGAAUCACUGGGCGUAAAGGGCGCGCAGGCGGUUUGUCAAGUCAGAUGUGAAAGGCCACGGCUCAACCGUGGAGGUGCAUCUGAAACUGGCAGACUUGAGUACCGGAGGGGAAAGUGGAAUUCCCGGUGUAGAGGUGAAAUUCGUAGAUAUCGGGAGGAACACCGGAGGCGAAGGCGACUUUCUGGACGGAUACUGACGCUGAGGCGCGAAAGCGUGGGGAGCAAACAGGAUUAGAAACCCUUGUAGUCC